rnacentral:rRNA from 2 species
UGUGCCUAAUACAUGCAAGUCGAACGCGUUGGCCCAAUUGAUUGAUGGUGCUUGCACCUGAUUGAUUUUGGUCGCCAACGAGUGGCGGACGGGUGAGUAACACGUAGGUAACCUGCCCAGAAGCGGGGGACAACAUUUGGAAACAGAUGCUAAUACCGCAUAACAGCGUUGUUCGCAUGAACAACGCUUAAAAGAUGGCUUCUCGCUAUCACUUCUGGAUGGACCUGCGGUGCAUUAGCUUGUUGGUGGGGUAACGGCCUACCAAGGCGAUGAUGCAUAGCCGAGUUGAGAGACUGAUCGGCCACAAUGGGACUGAGACACGGCCCAUACUCCUACGGGAGGCAGCAGUAGGGAAUCUUCCACAAUGGGCGCAAGCCUGAUGGAGCAACACCGCGUGAGUGAAGAAGGGUUUCGGCUCGUAAAGCUCUGUUGUUAAAGAAGAACACGUAUGAGAGUAACUGUUCAUACGUUGACGGUAUUUAACCAGAAAGUCACGGCUAACUACGUGCCAGCAGCCGCGGUAAUACGUAGGUGGCAAGCGUUAUCCGGAUUUAUUGGGCGUAAAGAGAGUGCAGGCGGUUUUCUAAGUCUGAUGUGAAAGCCUUCGGCUUAACCGGAGAAGUGCAUCGGAAACUGGAUAACUUGAGUGCAGAAGA